ACUGAAUGGGAAACUCUAUAAAAAAAGAAAAAUCAAAUGUUAUAUUUAUAUGCCACAGAAACUAGCACAGUGCCUGGCAGAUCACUGACAUUCAAUAAUAUUUCGAACUAAACCAAAAUGCCCUGCUCACAAAUAAUAAUUUUCCCCAAUAUAAAUCAAAGAUCAAAAACUAUCUAUUUGCUUUUAGAGUGCUUUUGCUUUUAGUUGUAACUGGUGUUCAUCCAUACAUAGAAAACCAUUGCAUUGGAGUAUCGUAUGCUGAUUUGCUGGUUUUUUCUCUAUGCAUAAUAAAGUGAUCAGUAAGCAGAGCAAACUUCAGUAGCCACAUGCUCUAACCCAGUGGUUCCCAAACUUUCUAUAAAAAUUCUAUGUCAGCAUUACCCAGGAAGUUUUUAAAUACAAAUUUCAACUAAUUUCAGUCCCAGAAUUUCUUAAAUUAUAACAAGAGGUGUGAUAAUUAUUUAUUGGGAAAAAUAUUGUAAUAUUAAUUGUUGCUAGUUAUUAAGGGCAGUUGCAAUUAUCUGAGAAAAUAGGCUUAGAGACUUGCCCAAGGUCUCACAGGUAAGUCUAAGAUAAAGUCGGGAU
rnacentral:lncRNA from 1 species